GUCCACGCCCUAAACGAUGUCGACUAGGUGUUCGGGGAGGAGACUCCUUGAGUACCGCAGCUAACGCGUGAAGUCGACCGCCUGGGGAGUACGGUCGCAAGAUUAAAACUCAAAGGAAUUGACGGGGACCCGCACAAGCGGUGGAUGAUGUGGAUUAAUUCGAUGCAACGCGAAAAACCUUACCUACCCUUGACAUGCCUGGAACCUUGGUGAGAGCUGAGGGUGCCUUCGGGAGCCAGGACACAGGUGCUGCAUGGCUGUCGU
rnacentral:rRNA from 1 species